rnacentral:antisense_RNA from 1 species
UCAGUGUGUCAGUCACACCGGGAUUCAUUCACUGAGUUCCGGGAGCAAGGCAGCUUUUCAAGGCUGGGCACUAAACAGGGGGAGCUUUGUGAGUGCCUAGACUCCUCUGCCGGCCACCUGCUCUUCCUCUCCUUGGCUUCCACGAAGAAAGCUGCAUGAGAGCAGUGAAUUGCUUUGUCCAAUGCUAAUCAUUAAAGCUUAGAAUACUGCUUGUUACAUGGGCCAGAAGUCAAGAAUAGGAGAGCAGCAGAAAACCACUAAAUAUGACAGCCAGCUUCACAUGGUUAGGUGGAAACAUCAUUGAUGCAGGAUUUCUCUUUGUCUCCUUACCAGUUGGGGACCUCUGGCUGGUGAUGUUACCUGCCACAGGAUGUGCCCUGCCCAAUCGGCUUGCCAAGUCUAGCUUGUGCACUGGUUCCUGAGUUCUUGUCCUGUGCCCAAGAAGAAUGAGGAUGUGCUGACCAUUGAAGGAGUCUUGCUCUGUUGACCAGGCUGGAAUGCUGUGGUGUGAUCUCACCUCAUUUCAACCUCCACCUCCCAGGUUCAAGCGAUUCUCCUGCCUUAGCCUCCCGAGUAGCUGAGACUACAGAGCCACCUCUUAGUUGGACUAUUUCACUGCAACAGUCCCCUUCAGCUGGUGACAGUCUCU